GAUGAACGCUGGCGGCGUGCCUAAUACAUGCAAGUCGAGCGAACAGACGAGGAGCUUACUCCUCUGACGUUAGCGGCGGACGGGUGAGUAACACGUGGAUAACCUACCUAUAAGACUGGGAUAACUUCGGGAAACCGGAGCUAAUACCGGAUAACAUGUUGAACCGCAUGGUUCAACAGUGAAAGACGGUCUUGCUGUCACUUAUAGAUGGAUCCGCGUCGCAUUAGCUAGUUGGUAAGGUAACGGCUUACCAAGGCAACGAUGCGUAGCCGACCUGAGAGGGUGAUCGGCCACACUGGAACUGAGGCACGGUCCAGACUCCUACGGGAGGCAGCAGUAGGGAAUCUUCCGCAAUGGGCGAAAGCCUGACGGAGCAACGCCGCGUGAGUGAAGAAGGUCUUCGGAUCGUAAAACUCUGUUAUUAGGGAAGAACAAAUGUGUAAGUAACUAUGCACGUCUUGACGGUACCUAAUCAGAAAGCCACGGCUAACUACGU
rnacentral:rRNA from 1 species